CUGAUCAGCCAUGCCGCGUGUGUGAAGAAGGCCUUCGGGUUGUAAAGCACUUUCAGCGAGGAAGAACGCCUUGGGAUUAAUACUCCCGAGGAAAGACAUCACUCGCAGAAGAAGCACCGGCUAACUCCGUGCCAGCAGCCGCGGUAAUACGGAGGGUGCAAGCGUUAAUCGGAAUUACUGGGCGUAAAGCGCGCGUAGGUGGCUAAGUCAGCCAGGUGUGAAAGCCCCGGGCUCAACCUGGGAACGGCAUCUGGAACUGCUUGGCUAGAGUGCAGGAGAGGAAGGUAGAAUUCCCGGUGUAGCGGUGAAAUGCGUAGAGAUCGGGAGGAAUACCAGUGGCGAAGGCGGCCUUCUGGACUGACACUGACACUGAGGUGCGAAAGCGUGGGUAGCAAACAGGAUUAGAUACCCUGGUAGUCCACGCCGUAAACGAUGUCAACUAGCCGUUGGGUCCCUUGAGGACUUAGUGGCGCAGCUAACGCAAUAAGUUGACCGCCUGGGGAGUACGGCCGCAAGGUUAAAACUCAAAUGA
rnacentral:rRNA from 1 species